CAUCUCUAUGGAUAUCUCUAGACCCUUCACCCCUGCCUGACCUCUCUGGUGACCUUCAGUCCCACACUUCCACCUGCCUGAGGGACAGUUCCAUUCUGUCGUCUCACCAAAGAUGGCCCAAAACCCAAUACUCCAAAUUGACGUCAUCAUUCUUCUACAUCCAAGGCUUGAAACCUAGGAAUUAUUUUCAGCUCCUACCUCUCCCUUGGCACAGGUUCCUGGUUACUCACCACAGCACAGUCACCGGCUGCUGGUAAUGGCUUCUACACUCAUCCAUUCUAUCUGUCUGUGAGAUGGUUGUGGGUGUAAAACUGACACACAGAUCAGGCAGAAUGGAGCCCACUUGGCAUAGGCUGGUGUCAGUGUGGAAGUCUGCUACAAACACCAAAAGUGGUCAUGUCGUGGAGCCAAUGGGGCCAACAGGAGGGGAUCAACAGGAGACAUGGUCAAGGCCAAUGCCAGCUUUCCAGAGUGACAGUGGAUCAGUGUCUCCUCAGGGAAACAUCUGUGUUGAACAUCUCUAGGACAUCGCAGCUUGUAGCCCUGCUCCCAGCUGAUUCUCACCAUCCAGGAUUGAGCCCAGCAGGCCCCUUUCCUUUUGCCUGAGUCUCCACAGAGCCACCACCUUUCCCCCAGGCACUCGGCCACUCACCUGGGGAGUGAUCUGCGACUCCUCUGAAGACCUCCACCUUCUGUUGCUUCCGCCUCUGACAUAUCUCUAACAAGACCCUUUUCUCAUCCCUAAGUGGCCUCCCUACCUCCAGUGUCUUCACCCCACACGCAGGAGUCUAUGCAGGCCUCCUUAUCUGAUCCAAACUCCUCAGCCUCAGCAACUGUUCGUAGGUCUCCACGCCUGCCUCCCACCUGUGUCACCUCUCGCUUUGCCCAGAGUUCCGGCUGAGACCGCUCCCCCACCUGCCUCCACACCCCUCCUUCCGAUUCUCCUGGCCCAUUCCUGCUUGUCUGUCGCCUGCCUGGGGAGACCUCCUCUCUUUGUUUCUUCUAGCCAAAGCCUGUCUGUCUUUCUAUGUCCAUCCUACACCCUCAGUCCUCUUAUGUUUGGAUUAGAGCCAAGGAUUUGUGACUAGUGGCCCGGAUUAUAGUGAUCUCUAUUAUGUGCAAAUGUCAUAGAAUAGACUGACUGGAAUAAAAUAACAGCAUGGUAA